GUGUGUGUCAGGGUGGUUAAUAGUGUGUCACAAAAAUUUAAUAGGGUAUGAGAAGGAGAAUAAGCUUACUGUGUGUCUAAGAGGAGUGUGCAAACGUUUUGCAGGCUGCGUGUAAUAAAGUCUGAUGGAAGUGUAAGUCAGUUUUAAUGAAAAUGUAUGUAUGGAAAAUAAGCCAAUGUUUUACCUUUGAACAAAAUCAAGGGUGCUUGCAGUCUCUUCCUAUAUUGGAGGUUGAAAUUAUAACGUGUGGACAAAUAAAAAAUACAGGUCAAUAACAUGUGCUUGACAAAUCUGAUGUACGUGACAGAAAGCAUGUUCUAUGGGGUGUGUGGUAGGAGUCAUGCAGACCCUGCAUGCUUACAGUGUAC